rnacentral:rRNA from 1 species
CAACCUACGGGACGCAGCAGUAGGGAAUCUUCCACAAUGGACGAAAGUCUGAUGGAGCAACGCCGCGUGAGUGAAGAAGGGUUUUGGCUCGUAAAGCUCUGUUUGUAGUGAAGAAAGAUAGAGGUAGUAACUGGCCUUUAUUUGACGGUAAUUACUUAGAAAGUCACGGCUAACUACGUGCCAGCAGCCGCGGUAAUACGUAGGUGGCAAUCGGUGUCCGGAUUUAUUGGGCGUAAAG